UGCAGUCGAGCGGACUUUAAGAGCUUGCUUUUAAAGUUAGCGGCGGACGGGUGAGUAACACGUGGGCAACCUGCCUGUAAGACUGGGAUAACUUCGGGAAACCGGAGCUAAUACCGGAUAAUCCUUUUCCUCUCAUGAGGAAAAGCUGAAAGACGGUUUACGCUGUCACUUACAGAUGGGCCCGCGGCGCAUUAGCUAGUUGGUGAGGUAACGGCUCACCAAGGCGACGAUGCGUAGCCGACCUGAGAGGGUGAUCGGCCACACUGGGACUGAGACACGGCCCAGACUCCUACGGGAGGCAGCAGUAGGGAAUCUUCCGCAAUGGACGAAAGUCUGACGGAGCAACGCCGCGUGAGUGAUGAAGGUUUUCGGAUCGUAAAACUCUGUUGUUAGGGAAGAACAAGUACAAGAGUAACUGCUUGUACCUUGACGGUACCUAACCAGAAAGCCACGGCUAACUACGUGCCAGCAGCCGCGGUAAUACGUAGGUGGCAAGCGUUGUCCGGAAUUAUUGGGCGUAAAGCGCGCGCAGGCGGUCCUUUAAGUCUGAUGUGAAAGCCCACGGCUCAACCGUGGAGGGUCAUUGGAAACUGGGGGACUUGAGUGCAGAAGAGAAGAGUGGAAUUCCACGUGUAGCGGUGAUAUGCGUAGAGAUGUGGAGGAACACCAGUGGCGAAGGCGACUCUUUGG
rnacentral:rRNA from 1 species